UACAGAGGGGGCAAGCGUUGUUCGGAAUUACUGGGCGUAAAGGGCGCGUAGGCGGCCUUCUAAGUCAGACGUGAAAUCCCCCGGCUCAACCUGGGAAUUGCAUUCGAGACUGAAUAGCUAGGGUACGGUAGAGGGAAGUGGAAUUUCCGGUGUAGCGGUGAAAUGCGUAGAUAUCGGAAGGAACAUCAGUGGCGAAAGCGACUUCCUGGACCAGUACCGACGUUCAGGCACGAAAGCGUGGGGAGCAAACAGG
rnacentral:rRNA from 1 species